rnacentral:rRNA from 1 species
UGGGGAAUAUUGGACAAUGGGCGAAAGCCUGAUCCAGCAAUACCGCGUGAGUGAUGAAGGCCUUCGGGUUGUAAAGCUCUGUCAAGAGGAACGAAAAAACUGGUUAAUACCCAGCAUUGACGGUACCUCUAAAGGAAGCACCGGCUAACUCUGUGCCAGCAGCCGCGGUAAUACAGAGGGUGCAAGCGUUGUUCGGAAUUACUGGGCGUAAAGCGCGUGUAGGCGGUCACGUAAGUCAGAUGUGAAAGCCCUCGGCUCAACCGAGGAAGUGCAUCUGAUACUGCAUGACUUGAAUGUCGGAGGGGGUGGCGGAAUUCCCGGUGUAGAGGUGAAAUUCGUAGAUAUCGGGAGGAACACCUGUGGCGAAGGCGGCCACCUGGACGACUAUUGACGCUGAGAC